UUUCCGUAGGUGAACCUGCGGAAGGAUCAUUAUUGAAACUUCAUCCGGGGCGCCGCGGCCCUCAGCACCGGUGGAAACGCCGUGCUGCGGGGGCCGCGCGUGCACUCGUCCAAACCAAACCCCCGUGAACCUUACGGGAUGGCCCGGGUUAGCGCCCGGUGCCGUUCCGCUUUAUACAAACACUUAUCAAAGAAUGAACUGAAGGCGGUCUGACCGCUGGAUAACAAACUGAAACAACUUUCAACAACGGAUCUCUUGGCUCUC
rnacentral:misc_RNA from 1 species